GAGUGCAGUAAUACCAAGGCAGCUUGCCACCUUGACGGGAACAAGGGAAGACUCGUGUAGCGAACCUUUUCCCUCCUUAGCGUCGUCCGCCUGCUGCUGUUUCCUACCAGCUGCUCUCAUCCUCUUGCUUUCUCGCCAUGACCCCAUUGACCCUCCCUCGGGCCUCCUCCCCAUCAGGAACUAACAUUUGAAGAAAGAUUACGAGUAUUUAUCCCCUCCUAACCUAUCAUUUUUAGUCAGCAGUCAGUCAGUCAGUCAGUCAAAUAGCCAUUCAGUGAAUGCGUGAGUUUGUGGAUAUUAAUUCAUUCCCUUAGCAAGUAUUUUUCAUUCAUUCAUUCAGUCAGACAGACAAUAAACCAUCACUCACUCGCUCACUCAAACACCCAGUCACUCAAUUUUCCUGCUCAUCUGUGUUCUCUUCUGUUUUUCACCACAUUUCAUCUCUUCCCUCCUCCCUCAUACCCUCUUACCCUCUCACCACCCCCUCAUGCCCUCAGGUACUGUGCGAGAGAAUGGAGGGGAGCCUGAAUACAGAAGAGGUACUCACUGGUCUCAGGAUAAACUCCCCCACAGGCAUCCCAGAGUGUGGAGCUGAUGCCCUUCGGUCCACCCUAUGCUCCACCAGCUUCAGGAGUCAGUGUGGCAUAGAUAGAUGUGGAUGACUGUGGUGUCUUGUCUUGUGUGGAGUUACAAGGUUGGUGUAUGGAUGGAACCGUCACCCCAAACAAUGAGUGGUGGAGGGUGCGUUCUGCGAUGACAGCCAGCAUGAGCGGUGACAGGAGGUGUGUGAGGCGCAUGACAGCUUUAGUGACAAGUUCAUGCAGGCAGUGGUGCAAUAUUAUUCCCUCAACACACUCAUUCACUUUGACGGCUUGGAAACCACAGUGCCUUCAGAUUUGUGGAGAAGUGUGUGUGUGUGUGUGUGUGUGUGUGUUUUUGAUAGUUAUAUUAGUUGUUUAAAUCAUGCUGGGCUAAUAUCUAUCCCUCUAUCAAUGUGCGUGUGUGUGUGUGUGUGUGUGUGUGUGUGUGUGUGUGUUUACCUAUUGCACGAGACAGGGGAAGAGGGAAGAGGAGGAGAGGAGAGGUGCUUGGGAGAUGAAAAUGUAUGUGUGUAUGUGUGUAUGAAUAUUUUCCCUAUCAUACACAAAAACACCCUUGAAAUCCUAUAUAUAAUUUGCCAUAGAACACACUUACUCUCUCCCACGUGCCCACUCCCUCUCUCCCACCCUCUCACCUCCCACACACCUGUAUACCGCGUCCUGCAGCCUCAAUGCACUCACCCCUUCUUUUCCAGUCAUGGGUGCCUUGCCUCCUCGCACCACCACCACAAGCACCACCACUACUGCCAUCACCUACAAGGAGGAGACUGUGAUGUGGCUGCAGGUGGAUAGGUUCGGAGGCCUCCAGAGAGCUGCCCAGAGUGAAGCUUGUGGUAUAGAAGGACAGCUGCUGAUUAUCAAGCUUAUGGAGUGACUGGAAGAAAGUGGGAGGAGCCUGCAGGAAGUGGUGGAGGUACAGUACUUGGAGAAAAUCCCUUCACCAUGAUGACUGGGUGUCUGCUGUACAGGCCACCAACCAAUGGUGAGAGAGGGAGGGAGACUGGCUAAUGGUGGAUGAGAGAGAGAGAGAGAGAGAGAGAGAGAGAGAGAGAGAGAGAGAGAGAGAGAGAGAGAGAGAGAGAGAGAGUCUUGAUAAAUAAUAUUGGGCACAGGCUUCACCACUGGGUCGACUGUGAGGGCUGCGUUCUUCUGCUAGGGAAGUAUUGGCUGGUUGGUGGCUGCGGCUGUUCACACACUCACUCUUGCUGCGGCUGGCAUGCUGUUCUGUCCUCUCUUGUUCCAGGAAUUGCUGUCUGAGGUGUGUGUGUGUGUAUGUGUGUGUAGAAGCCACCAUCAUCAACCACAGCAGGUGAUAAUGAUGGUUCCUGCUUUCAUCGUCAUUGGGGUUAGCCAGACCAACCUGGGGCUGUACUGGGGUGACGCUGUAUGCCUCAGGUGUAUCUGGAAGGCUGGGAUAGUGAGUAGGUAACAAUUAAAAAGGACUAGUGUACACUUAAACCAUUACAAACACUAUGUAAUGCUGGUAUACACACGCAAACACUGGUAUAUACUUAGAGACAUAUAUAAACACUUGCUAUGGUUUGUAUACUCUUAGAAACACACAUAAACUCUUAAUAAAUCUAGUAUACACACAAACUUGUAUACAAACACUAGUAUAUACUUAGAGACACGUCCAAACCUUUGCUAAGUCUGAUAUAAACAUAUAAACUCAUAAGAGAUGCUGGUAUAUGCUUGGAAAUCUAUACACACAUUAGGUAAGACUAGUAUACACAAAUCUAUACAUAUAUUAGGAAUUUAUGUUGAUUGAGAUGGCUAGUACUCUCUCUCUCUCUCUCUCUCUCUCUCUCUCUCUCUCUCUCUCUCUCUCUCUCUCUCUCUCUCUCUCUCUCUCUCUCUCUCUUUCUCUUUCUCUUUCUCUUUCUCUUUCUCUCUCUCUCUUUCUCUUUCUCUCAUAUCCUUUGUCUGUCUCAAAUUUUCUCUUUUAAUCUCUCCCUCUCUGUCUGUCUGUCUCUCUGUCUGUCUGUCUGUCUGUCUGUCUGUCCCACACCUCAGUACACCCUUCCUGUCUUCAUACACUUUAGUACACCCUUCCUGUCUGCCCCUAUAGCUUAAUACACCCUGUAUCACCCUUGCAUCUCAUUAAACUAUCCCUAUUUGUCCAUCUCAAUAAACCCUGUCUAAUUUCCCUGCCUGGUUGUUUGUCUCAUCUUAUUACACCCUGUCUCUCCCUGCUUCUUGUUGCACCCUUCCUUUCCCCUACACCUCAAUACUCCCUUCCCACCCUGUGUCAUGUGUAUAUAUUUAAGUAUUUAUAUUCAUUUGUGGCAUUCUUCAUGUGUUUUUGGAGUGUUUUGAGUGUGUUUGGGUGUGUUUUGGGGUGUUUGGGUCAGUUUUGGGUGUGUUUUGGGGUGUUUUGGGGUGUUAUGGUCUGUUUUGGGUGUGUUUUGGGGUGUUUUGGGUGUGUUUGGGUGUGUUUUGGGGUGUUUUGGGUGUGUUUGGGUGUGUUUGGGUGUGUUUUGGGGUGUUUUGGAGUGUUUGGGUCAGUUUUGGGUGUGUUUUGGGGUGUUUUGGUCAGUUUUGGGUGUGUUUUGGGGUGUUUUGGGUGUGAUUUGGGGUGUUUUUGUCUGUUUUGGGUGUGUUUUGGGGUGUUUUUGGGUGUGUUUUGGGGUGUUUGGGUCAGUUUUGGGGUGUGUUUUGGGGUGUUUUGGGGUGUUUUGGGUGUGUUUUUGGGGUGUUUUUGUCAGUAUUGGGUGUGUUUGGGUGUGUUUUGGGGUGUUUUUGUCAGUUUUGGAUGAGUUUUGGGGUGUUUUGGGUGUGUUUUGGGGUGUUUUGGUCAGUUUUGAUGAGUUUGGGUGUGUUUUGGGGUAUUUUAAGUGUUUUUUUUUUGGUAUUUUAAAGGAGUUUGGGUGUGUUUUGGUGGCUAGGGAUGUGCUGUGGGUGGAUAAGGCUGUUUCGGGGUGUUUAAGUGGGUGUGCAUGCGUUUUGGGGUGUUUUUGAUGUGUUUUGGGGUGUAGAGAGGUAGACGUGAUGUGUGCAGGGUGUCUCAGUCCCUGGAUGGGUGUAGGAGUGUGUGGUGGUGCUGUCUGGGUCUCGUGGUGUGGAUUGCAUGGAAAGGGAAAGAUAAUUUAAGACAGUUUAUCAUAUUUAAUUAUUUUGUUUAUUAAUUUAUUUACUAUUAUCAUUAUUUUUUAUUGUUUUUAAUUAAAGGGGGGUUAAUUUUUACGUUCAUCUUUUGUGUUCGGGAGUUCCUGGUUAGUGCUAUUGACAAAAAAAUGGAGAUCGUUUUAUUUUUUAGUGUGGAAAUUGUCGCAGUUUGUCAGGUGUUGAUUGGUGUUGAGAGUCGCAGGUCCCGUCUCGCCCGCUGUCAUAAAAUAAACAAUAAAGGGUUGAUUUUCACUGAUAGUUUAUUUCCUCUAACGUAAACAUGUAAUGAUAUAGUUUUGUCUGUGUCUCCUGAUGGUAUGGCACUCUUGGCUAAUAUUUAACUAAUUAUAUUCAUGUCAUUAUCUGAAUAACUAAUAACAAUUCACUAUCCUGCAUGUACUGUCAAGUCUAUCGAAACAUCAGCACGUCAAUAAAUACAUAAAUACAUAAUAAUAUAUAAUACAGAACAAAUUAUGAAUGAAAAGAAAAAAGAAUGAUAAAUGAAAUGCGGUGAUAAUAUACAUAGCGUGGUGCAGAGCGUACGAUAAUGUGGUGCAG